GCGACAGCGAUGAUGAGGAGUAGUAAUUUGCCCUCUCCCGGCUCAGAGAAUUGACGGAUGGUGCGAGUCAAUCCGGGAAGCAAAUGAACUCGCCUCAUUGCUCCAAAGAGGAACGCGGUCACGUCAGUACUUUUUGGCGGUUCAUCCCCGUUACCGGAUCCAUGAGGGAGUGUUUUUUGAAACACUAAUUAGGGUGGUACCGCGGGAAUUUGGAAACAACCUCUCGUCCCUAGC
rnacentral:ncRNA from 1 species